GGUCGGAUAAGGCGUUCACGUCGCAUCCGACAAUAACAGCCUUGCCUGAUGCGACGCUGUCGCGUCUUAUCAGGCC
rfam:Shigella dysenteriae Sd197, complete genome.